AUUGAACGCUGGCGGCAGGCCUAACACAUGCAAGUCGAGCGGAUGAAGGGAGCUUGCUCCUGGAUUCAGCGGCGGACGGGUGAGUAAUGCCUAGGAAUCUGCCUGGUAGUGGGGGAUAACGUCCGGAAACGGGCGCUAAUACCGCAUACGUCCUGAGGGAGAAAGUGGGGGAUCUUCGGACCUCACGCUAUCAGAUGAGCCUAGGUCGGAUUAGCUAGUUGGUGGGGUAAAGGCCUACCAAGGCGACGAUCCGUAACUGGUCUGAGAGGAUGAUCAGUCACACUGGAACUGAGACACGGUCCAGACUCCUACGGGAGGCAGCAGUUGGGAAUAUUGGACAAUGGGCGAAAGCCUGAUCCAGCCAUGCCGCGUGUGUGAAGAAGGUCUUCGGAUUGUAAAACACUUUAAGUUGGGAGGAAGGGCAGUAAGUUAAUACCUUGCUGUUUUGACGGUACCAACAGAAUAAGCACCGGCUAACUUCGUG
rnacentral:rRNA from 1 species